AAGAUGUCUAUACAUAGGAGAUAUUUACAAAACAUAGUCAUAAAAUAAUUUGGAUAUUUUCACUAAGUUUUAGCUAUUUGUCACCAAAUUAUCUUGGUUUGGAAUUUAAACAUCAAGUGUUAGUCAUUUGUCACUAAAUUAAUUCAGCUUAGUUACUAAAUUAGCUUAAUCACUAAAUUAUUUAGAUUAAGUCAUUUGUCACUAUAUAGAUUUAGUUUAGUUAUCAAUUUAUUAUAAAUUUUUCCAUUGUCAAAAGAUAACUCCAUCAUUUACUUUACAUUAGAUAAAAAAUUUACCCGGCUCAUUGAAUUUGCUCAAAAUUCUAUUCACAUAUACUUAUUUCUACUUGGACCGUUAGGCUUGUAAAAAUUAGUUUCAACGCUAAUUCAUGUCGAGUGGCCAAGUAACAUGGAUAACUUUUUUUCAGUUCAAUAAAUUAUGGAUCAAGAGUUCAUAAUUUCUUUGAGAUUAGAAACAAGAGCCAGCUGUUAAAUUUCCUCUAGCAGCCGUUGAGAUUCUGAACUUUUCACGUUUAUUUUUAUAGAAAAAGAUUUUACCAUUAGAGAUAACAGUUCCAAGUAAAAUAACUUCAUUUUUAUUUCAUGUUUUCUUAUAAACAUUAUUAUGUUUGAAAAAUAAAUGAACAAAUGAAAAAAUAAAUAGUAUAUAUUUUUAAUUAAUUUGUUAAUCAUUUGAAUUGUUUUUUUAACUUAAUCAUUUGAAUUGUUUUAACUUAUAAAAUUAUUAACAAGUAAAUUAAUGACGUAAAUUACAAGUAGUCAUUUGAAAUACCAGGUCAGGCCUAAUGAAAUAAAAUUUCAAUAAUAAUUCAAUUACACAUUAUAUAAAUUGAACCCAUGUUCUCAAACGCGGUGGCUAAAUCCGAGAACUCUUUAGCAGUGGUGAUCAGCAUGGCCAGAUGGUUAUGCCCGUGUCAGCCGUGGAAGUAAACAAAUUGCCGUGUAAUUUUGUCAAAACCAAGUUGCCAUGUUCAUAAGAACUUGCAAAUUCCAGAAUUCUAAGGAAGGUACUAUAAUCACACAUUUCCCUUGGAGAGGAUGUUAACCUAUUCGGGGAACUAGGUUUUUGAGAUCUCCAUGACUUCAAUAUAGCGCUUCUUGCAAAAUAAUUGUAGGGACCAAGUCAUUAUCUAAAUUCAUUAUUAGCACGUGUUUUAAAAGAAAGGUACUAUAAUCACACAUCUCACUUGGAAGAUCGACGAACAUACUCACCAUCAUAUGUAUGGCGUAGUAUCAUGGCAACAAAACUUCUAUUCGUAUCGGGUUUACGAAAAACAAUUGGUACGUAUCCAGAUACGAAGGUUUGGAGUGAGUCUAGGGUUCCAGACUCAGUGACUCGACCACCUAAACCUGCCGACCACAUUGUUUACAAACUAUCCUAACUUUUUGUUCAGUCCUUUAUUAGGAAUGAUACCAAAGAGUGGGAUAUAUAUCUUUUACGAGAAUUUUUCACCAAGAUGAUAUCCCUUUGAUACUUGGGCUAAAACUUUCUCGCUCUCUUGCUCCAUAUGGAUAUGUUUGGAACCACACAAAAUCAUGAGUGUAUGCAGUUAAAACCUGUUAUGACUUACUCCGAUCGACCAAGCUGAGUCUUACACAUGAAUGGGUUCUAGAGACGAGUAUCAUGAGCCUUCAGAGCGAUGUGUGGAAGAUAAAGGCCUCGAGUAAGAUGAAGCAUUUCUUGUGGCAAGCUAUCUCGGGCUGUGUGGCGACGGCAUAUAGGCUCACUUAUAGACACUUGGGCACCGAUAGAGGUUGUCCUAAAUGUGAUAGCCCAGUGGAGUCGAUUAAUCAUCUUCUUUUUUAAUGCCUCCCAGCCCUGCAGGUUUGGGCUUUAUCGAUUUAUUUAUCCCUUCUGGGUUACUUCCCGAGUACAUCUAUAUACCAAAACAUGAACUGUCUGUUUUGGAAGAGAAAAGAUGUGGUUCCACUGAGACCACAAUUCGAUACCUUUCCAUGGAUUUGUUGGUACAUUUGGAAGACGAGGAGCGACAAACUCUUUCAUGGGAAAGUCGUAUCCCUGAUUGACACUCUCCAACCCGCGUCUUUUGAGGCAGAAUGUUAGAGAAAGGCUAACGAAAAGGAGGAAGCAAAUGAAGAUCAUAAAGAACCUCCUAUUACAUAGGUUGAGACGGUGCCUCCUUGGAUUCCCCGAGUCCCUACCUGUCAAAUUGAUGUGUCAUAGAUCGAUAAUGUCAGUGUCAGUGGCUUAGGAUGGAAUCUUAAGGAUCAAAUGGGUUAUGAAUAUUUCGAAUUACAGGUGUGCAGGAGGAGCCUUUCAGCUUUACGUGUUGAGAUAGAAGGUUUACUUUCGUCAGCCUCGUGUAUGAGAGACAUGAGGAUAACCUCGAUACAGUUCGAAACGAACUGUUCGGACCUAGUGGACAUGACUACAAACCCAGCGGAUUGGCCAACAUUCACGACAAAGAUCGAGGUGUUCCAGAGUUUACAUGAGGAUUUCGAAGAUGUGAAUCUAUCUCAUAUUCCUUGGAGUAGGAAUGGUCGGGCGGAUGCGUUAGCAAAAGAAGCAAAGACCAUAGGCUAUAUUUUUUUCCAUAUAGAUCAAAUCCGGUCAGACAGAGGUUCUCCCCGGAGUAUCGGCUUCUCUGACUAGUAUUUGAUCUAGAUUAAAUGGGUAGUGGACAAAAAGAAUAAAAAGUUUGAAAUCAUAGUUAUUGCGAUAGGUAUGAUAUAUAUAGGUACAACCACAAGAAAAACAUCUGAAGAAAGUGCAUCAAAUGAAAAGAAAAAAGAAAAACAAUGGAAACUAAAUCAGAGAAUUCACAUAGAUUAAGGUAGAAGACCCGUCUUUUCUAAUCUAUCUAUCUAUAUAUAUAAAAAUAUGUUCGUCUCACUCCUGCUUUGCCACGUGGAAAAUCGAUGCCUGACAAGCCGACACGUGUCCCGGCUUUUAACCAUACGCGUUUUUAGAUACAUUUGGCUUAAAUUCGUACUGUGAUUUGAUGAAGCUAACCCUAAUCUGAUGAAGACAUGUUCCGGAGUCUUCUCUUCUACGUUCAAAGGCGACGGUAACUUUCGAGCUUCUUCGCGAUUUCUGUAACAGAGUGCGUUAUGGUUUCAUCGUGUUAAAUCCCAUUAACUCAGACGUCCACGUUGUGUUCUUUAAUGUGUUGCUUGCGUCGGCAAGACGGUGAGCUUUUGGGUAUAAAUAUGUCACCUUCACUCUCAGCUUCGAUAUAUUAAAAGUCGGAGGAGGAGGAGACGAUAGCACCACUUCCAUCUCCGGAGUUACUAAAGAGUUUUCCCCGUGGCUGGAGACUGUAGUCACCUACGAGGUUCGAGCUCCAGAAGCUGGAUGGAUCUCUCUUUCGACACGAGAUCGGUGUCUCCGGCCGGCGCCGGCUCAGGUGAGAAAGAGCCGGAGAGGACCAAGGUCAAGAAGCUCGCAGUAUAUGGGAAUCUCAUAUUUGAUAACACUCAUUUUUCUCAACUUUUAUUUUGUACUUUGUGAGAUCAAAUCCAGAACUCCUUUUUAUUUUAUUUUUAAAUGCAGAGAUUGUCGGAAAAAAAAGGUUCUUUUAGGUAAGAUUAAUAAUUUUAAGUGAUUGUUGAUAGAACGACAACAAGUGUUGUUGCUUUCAUCUUUAACUCUCUUCUUGAUUUCAAUUUAUAGGUGGUUUUGACACUGCUCAUGCGCCUGCUAGGUACCUCUACAUCAUUCUUUGGGAUUUGGUUUUGUAUAUGAAUCAACUUUGUCUUUGAGUUUUUUUUUAAAUAUUUUUUUAAUGUAUACGUAGAGCUUUUGAUCCAGCUGCUAUAAAAUUUAGAGGUGUUGAUUCUUAUAUCAACUUUACUGUUGGUGAUUACAAAGAAGAUAUGAAGCAUGUUUUUUUAUAUGAAUGUAGUUUUGGGUUCCUCUUCUCCCGAAGCUGAAACUACCACAUACCAUUGCAGUACUUUGUUUCAUGUAUCGAUUGACUCUAACUAUCAUAGAUUCAUGAUUAAUAGACAUUCCAUGUUCAUUUUUUCAUGUCUGCUUACAUGAGUUUAUUCGUGUUUUCAUGUCUGCUUACAUGAGUUUACAUGAGCGAGCUUUAGUUUAUUCAUGUUUUUAUGUCUGUUUACAUGAAAUUAAUUGUUAAUGACUUCCUUUAGGUCAUGUUUACUUAUUCAGUCUCCUAAGGCAUCUAUUUCGGCUUUUGUAUUUUGCAGGUACCAUGAUAGUGCAUAUGUAAGCUCUGGGGUUUAUUCUUGCUUUCCUUUUAAAAGAAACAUUUGAUGUUCAUUGGGAUGGAAAGAAGGCUUCUCUCUUUGUGCAAUCAUAUCUCACAUAAGCCAUGUCUCAGUAAAAUAGCUUCUGGGCUGCUGUUACUAGACACCACCACCAGUUGAAAGGGUUCAUCAAACAUGAGAUGGAAAGAACGAGAUCACACAUGGGUAAAAUAUGCUUUUUUUUAUAAAAUGUAAAUUAUAUUAUCAUAAGUAAAUAUUUGUUAUAAGCAGGUGCAGAUAGCUUCGUUGGAAAAAAAAAGGGAAGCUAAACGUGAAAAUCAGUAUGAGAAGCUUGGAUUAGCUAUAAGUGAACCAGACUGAAAGGAGACUGGCACAUCCUUUGUUGAACCUUUGUGAAGGAUAUUCCGGGGGAGCCUGUCAAUGUGAGCAAAGAUAGUACCAUGAGGUUUAGCAACGCAUGAGUGUAACCUGUUUUUCCUCUCUUUCCAGAGAAGAUAAGAAUAUUCCUUGAGUGACCAGUUUUCUUAGUAACAAACAAGAUCACCCUUCCGUUGGAGAGAAGGGAGUCAGCGAUCAAUUUUCUUUAAAGUUUGUUUAGUUAACAUUAUUGCGUUGAGAAAAGAAGUUAACAUUAUUAAUUCA